rnacentral:rRNA from 1 species
UACGUAGGGGGGCAAGCGUUUGUCCGGAAUCAUUGGGCGUAAAGAGCGCGUAGGCGGCCCUGUAAGUCCGCUGUGAAAGUCAAGGGCUCAACCCUUGGAUGCCGGUGGAUACUGCAGGGCUAGAGUCCGGAAGAGGCGAGUGGAAUUCCUGGUGUAGCGGUGAAAUGCGCAGAUAUCAGGAGGAACACCGAUGGCGAAGGCAGCUCGCUGGGACGGUACUGACGCUGAGGCGCGAAAGCGUGGGGAGCGAACAGG